UGUCCAGGGAUUGGGAAUCGAACCCACAGUGUUCCGCUUACUGGGCAGAUGCCAUGUCCACUAGGCAACAUGUUGUGGC